UUAAUUCAGGUGAAAAACAUAACCCUAACUCGAAAUCAGCCUUAUUCAGCCAUAUAUUGCUAUUGUCAUAUGAAUUCAAGAACCAUAAAGCCAAAAUCAGAGUUGGUGAUUUGUGCUUAUAUAGAGAUAAAGCAUUGAAAAGGAUUUAGUCCUGAUGAAGAAACAUCAAUGGGAUUAGUUCAGCAUGAAGGUGGGCCGUGUGGUGUAUUAGUAGCUAUACAACACUGAAAAAAAAAGCAGGAGUGAGAAGAAGAGUCGAAAGACGGUGUUGCGGUGUCGAUAAUAUGAGCCGAGAACAUAAUUCAAGGAUCUCCAGAAGGAUCCUCCUCUUGCAGUGCAGGGUUAUAAGUUGUUUUGUUUGUGAGUUUAUGUUUUGUGGUUGA
rnacentral:lncRNA from 1 species